rnacentral:tRNA from 1 species
UAAAAUAAAGCUUUUGUAGCGGCUCAGUUGCAUUGAGUAGGGCCUUCGCAGGUAUUUUAG